GGGGAAAGAUGGGGGAUCUCUGGCUUGAGGCUUGGAGAACAGCACGACCCCUGCUGGACCCUCUUGGAUAGCUCCACCUGCCGAGGACUGUGGAGAACAAGGGAUUCAAUCCCACACCCAAGGAGAGAGAGACCAGACAUCUUGCCGUCUCCAGCAAGGGCCUCCGGGGACUGUCAGUCUCUGUCCAGCCCAGGACCACACCAUCCAACAUUUUGCUGUCAGAUGUCCCAGCUCUUUUUUCAAAUAAGAGAUGGGAUGAGGCAUCCCCUACCUGAGCCACAGAGGGUGCUUUUGGCUACUGGAAGUCUCCAAGAUGAAGAGCUCGGAACCGUGGAGAGUCCACCAGCCAGACCAACAAAUGGGAAAAUGCUCUGCGUCCUGCUUCCAGACAUGAAGCUGAACUUGCUCCAAGGAGGAAACUCACAAACUCUUUUCCCAACCUGGUAUACUCCAUCUUCGUUUUCAUUCCCAUUGGAGGAACUGUUCUCUUGUCGUCAACAGUAGGACCACUGUGGAAAGAUCACUAAUUUAGUGAGAAACUCAAAUUACUGAAUAGCUGUAAAAAAAUUUGCUGUUUUAGUUCAAGUACCAACCACAAUUUUAAGGAUUGUGGUAGGAGUGACCACCCCUCCUGGGUGACCAACUGUCCUGGCUUACCCAAGACUCUCCUGGCGUUAGCACUGAAAGUCUUACAUUCUGAGACACCUCUCAGUCCUAGGACCAAAUUAGGACAGAUGGCACUCUACUGAAUGUCAGGUACUGUGCCAGGCACUGUACAUUCAUCAUAUCAUUUUAUCCACAGGCCAGCUUUGGGUAGGUUUGCUUUUUCCAUCUUGAGCAUAAGAAAACAGCCUUGAGAGGUUAAGUUGAUUUCCAAGCCCACGCUCCAGAACAGGUGGAGCCAAACAGUGGCAACAGGCCCACCAGACUCUGAAGCACUGGUGUCUUUCAGGGCAGGAGACCUCAUUCCCUAGUGCUAAGAUUUCAGCCUCAGGGGUACAGGCCAGCAGGUGGGCCUGGGUGGAGCUUUGCUGCCCUCUGGUGGGAGAUAUGGUGGCACUCUGGGCCUACGUCCACUCUUGGGCAGAGAGGCUGAGAAGGCAUCCCUGCCUCCCAAGCAGAGGAACUCAAAUCUGGCUUCAGUCCUAGAAGAGUGCCACAUGGAUGGCCCUCACCAGUGUCUGCUGGGGACCUUGGUCCAGCUAUCUGUGAGUCAUAUGAUCACUUAGGGCCUCAAAGACCCAGAGCCAGACUGCUGGGUUUGAGUCCAUGUGACCCUGAACCAGUCGCUCAAACCUCUGGGCCUCAGUUCCUUAUCUAUAAAUCAGAAUGACAAACAAGUCAACACAUUUAAACUAUGCUUAGACUGAGGUUGUCAUUACUAGCUCCUUCACACCCACAUGCCUUAACUCUACCUUUGUGCACUCAUUCAUUUCAUUCAUUCACUUCACUUCCAUCCAGCAGUUAUCUACCAAGCACCAGCUCUGUGCCAGACCCUGAGCUGGGGAUGCCAGAGAGAUGAUUGCCCUCCUGGAUCUGUAAUUUUCCACUAAUCCACUGUCUCAUGUGUUUAUUCCUUCCUUCCUUCAUUCAUUCACCAUGGUGUAUCCAUUUAUUUAUUG